GAUGAAGAACGCAGCGAAAUGCGAUAAGUAAUGUGAAUUGCAGAAUUCAGUGAAUCAUCGAAUCUUUGAACGCACAUUGCGCCCGCCAGCACUCUGGCGGGCAUGCCUGUUCGAGCGUCAUUUCAACCAUCAAGCCCCCAGGGGCUUGUGUUGGGGCCCUGCGGCUGCCCGCAGGCCCUGAAAACCAGUGGCGGGCUCGCUAGUCACACCGAGCGCAGUAGCACAUCUCGCUCAGGGCGUGCGGCGGGCUCCUGCCGUGAAACCCCCCACUGUAACCCCAAAGGUUGACCUCGGAUCAGGUAGGAAUACCCGCUGAACUUAAGCAUAUCAAUAAGCGGAGGA
rnacentral:misc_RNA from 1 species